UACGGGGGGGGCAAGCGUUGUUCGGAAUUACUGGGCGUAAAGGGCGCGUAGGCGGCCAAGUAAGUCAGACGUGAAAUCCCUAGGCUCAACCUAGGAACUGCGUCUGAUACUGGAUGGCUUGAAUCCGGGAGAGGGAUGCAGAAUUCCAGGUGUAGCGGUGAAAUGCGUAGAUAUCUGGAGGAAUACCGGUGGCGAAGGCGGCAUCCUGGACCGGCAUUGACGCUGAGGAGCGAAAGCCAGGGGAGCAAACGGG
rnacentral:rRNA from 1 species